GCUCUGCUCGACAACAUUGCCGCCGCUAAUGCGUCCUGUAGGGCCGCUAUCGUCGGGGCCGGUGGCGGGGCUGUCGUAGAUUGGUUGCUCGAGUCGGUGGCGGUGCCCAGGGAUGGUUGCGGGACCCAAGCGGAGUCGGCGAGAGCGCUGGCAUACUUGAUUGCCGAUCCUAAUGUGUGCACGACUGUGAUUGGGAGGCCUCAUGCAAUUCCGAAUCUCCUGAGGUUCAUUUCUUCGUGUCAACCUCAGCGGUCGAAGCAGCAAUCAAGACGUACGUAGUUCAUUCGAUGUUUCUGAUUCUUUGAAAGGCAGGAGCAUGCUUGUGGCUGCCAUUAUGGAUAUGGUCACCUCCAGUUGUGAUAGUUUAGACAAGGUAUCUUUUCAGCCCUCCUUACCAGGGAAUGCUGAAACUGGAGAUAUUGCUGUAGCCCUUCAAGUUGUUGAGGAAGGUGGAAUGCAUUUGGAUGAGCCCGAUAGAAAGGAAGAUGAUGAGGAUGGCGGAAAUGGACUGAAAGGAAUUGGGAUUAAAAUUCUUGGAGGUACUAGUGUUAUGGGACUUUCCAGGAAUAGUGGACUUAUGAAGUUGGGGCAAUGUGAUGCUAGUCACGAGGAAUCAACUAGGCACACUUCUUUAAUUGUAUUGUGAGAUAUGUGAGCCAUGAGAAAUUAUAAAAUCACCCAUUAUAAUGGAUUUAGCUCCUAAACAACCCGUGGACGUAGGCAUUAUGCUGAACCAUGUGAAUCCUUGUGUCUCUAUUUUUAUUUGUUUAUUUACUAUUUAUUAUAUAGAUGAACACGAAGAGCAUCAUAUUGA